UACUUCGAGAAAAUUCGGACGAAGUAUGGAGGUUAUGGAAAAUUUUACGCUUUGCCCAACAACCUCGCCACCAACACGUGGUAUCACUACUGCCAGGUGCGGGACGUCACUAAUGGACUGGCCCAGGUAUACUUGCAGGGCGAUCUCCUCGCGAACGAAUCCUUUGCAUUCGCAUCUGACAACAUAACACGUCGUGUAUUUAUUGGCCAGGAUGAAUUUGAGCCGCCGUACUCACUGAGCGGGGAUGUGACUCAGCUGAAUGUGUGGAAGUCAGCGCUGUCAGCG